rnacentral:rRNA from 1 species
UACGAAGGGGGGCUAGCGUUGCUCGGAAUCACUGGGCGUAAAGCGCACGUAGGCGGCUUGUUAAGUCAGGGGUGAAAUCCUGGAGCUCAACUCCAGAACUGCCUUUGAUACUGGCAAGCUUGGAGUCCGGGAGAGGUGAGUGGAACUGCGAGUGUAGAGGUGAAAUUCGUAGAUAUUCGCAAGAACACCAGUGGCGAAGGCGGCUCACUGGACCGGUAUUGACGCUGAGGUGCGAAAGCGUGGGGAGCAAACAGG